CGGUGUACAGGUGGUGCAUGGCUGUCGUCAGCUCGUGUCGUGAGAUGUUGGGUUAAGUCCCGCAACGAGCGCAACCCUUGUCCCGUGUUGCCAGCAGGCCCUUGUGGUGCUGGGGACUCACGGGAGACCGCCGGGGUCAACUCGGAGGAAGGUGGGGACGACGUCAAGUCAUCAUGCCCCUUAUGUCUUGGGCUGCACACGUGCUACAAUGGCCGGUACAAUGAGCUGCGAUACCGCGAGGUGGAGCGAAUCUCAAAAAGCCGGUCUCAGUUCGGAUUGGGGUCUGCAACUCGACCCCAUGAAGUCGGAGUCGCUAGUAAUCGCAGAUCAGCAUUGCUGCGGUGAAUACGUUCCCGGGCCUUGUACACACCGCCCGUCACGUCACGAAAGUCGGUAACACCCGAAGCCGGUGGCCCAACCCCUUGUGGGAGGGAGCUGUCGAAGGUGGGACUGGCGAUUGGGACGAAGU
rnacentral:rRNA from 1 species